UACGGAGGGAGCUAGCGUUGUUCGGAAUUACUGGGCGUAAAGCGCACGUAGGCGGCUUUGUAAGUUAGAGGUGAAAGCCUGGGGCUCAACCCCAGAAUUGCCUUUAAGACUGCAUCGCUUGAAUCCGGGAGAGGUGAGUGGAAUUCCGAGUGUAGAGGUGAAAUUCGUAGAUAUUCGGAAGAACACCAGUGGCGAAGGCGGGUCUCUGGGCCGAUACUGACGCUGAGAGACGAAAGCUAGGGGAGCAAAUGGG
rnacentral:rRNA from 1 species